UCCGCCGAAAGACCAAGGGUUCCUGGGCCAGGCUAAUCCGCCCAGGGUAAGUCGGGACCUAAGGCGAGGCCGUCAGGCGUAGUCGAUGGACAACUGGUUGAUAUUCCAGUACCCGCUUUAAUUCGCCCAUAACGAAUCCACUAAUGCUAAGAGUCUGAAUCCUGUUCGGCGUAAGCCGCGUGGGUGGAUGGCUCGAACCGGUGUGGUAGUAGUUAAGCAAUGGUGUGACACAGGAAGGCAGUCCAACCCGGGCGAUGGUUGUCCCGGGGUAAGGUCGUAGGGCGUUACGUAGGCAAAUCCGCGUAACACAUGCCUGAGAGCUGAUGCCGAGCCGUAAGGCGAAGUGGAUGAUCCUAUGCUGUCAAGAAAAGCAUCUAGCGAGAAUUAUUGCGGCCCGUACCCGAAACCGACACAGGUGGUCAGGUAGAGAAUACCAAGGCGAUCGAGAGAAUCAUGGAUAAGGAACUCGGCAAAAUGCCCCCGUAACUUCGGGAGAAGGGGGGCCCUUCGACGUGUAGGAAUUUACUUCCGAAGCGUUGGAAGGCCGCAGAGACCAGGCUCAAGCGACUGUUUACCAAAAACACAGGUCCGUGCGAAGUAGCAAUACGAUGUAUACGGACUGACGCCUGCCCGGUGCUGGAAGGUUAAGGGGACUGGUUAGCCGCAAGGCGAAGCUGAGAACUUAAGCCCCAGUAAACGGCGGUGGUAACUAUAACCAUCCUAAGGUAGCGAAAUUCCUUGUCGGGUAAGUUCCGACCUGCACGAAUGGCGUAACGACUUGAGCGCUGUCUCAUCCGUGAACUCGGCGAAAUUGCAUUACGAGUAAAGAUGCUCGUUACGCGCAGAAAGACGGAAAGACCCCGGGACCUUUACUAUAUCUUGAUAUUGGUGUUCGGAACGGUUUGUGUAGCAUAGGUGGGAGACUUUGAAGCGGGCACGCCAGUGUUUGUGGAGUCAUCGUUGAAAUACCACUCUGAUCGUUUUGAACUUCUAACCUCGGUCCGUGAUCUGGAUCAGGGACAGUGUCUGGUGGGUAGUUUGACUGGGGCGGUCGCCUCCUAAAAAGUAACGGAGGCGCUCAAAGGUUCCCUCAACCUGGUUGGUAAUCAGGUGUCGAGUGUAAGUGCACAAGGGAGCUUAACUGUGAGACAGACAUGUCGAGCAGGUGCGAAAGCAGGAACUAGUGAUCCGGCGGUGGCUUGUGGAAGCGCCGUCGCUCAACGGAUAAAAGGUACCCCGGGGAUAACAGGCUGAUCUUGCCCAAGAGUCCAUAUCGACGGCAAGGUUUGGCACCUCGAUGUCGGCUCGUC
rnacentral:rRNA from 1 species